UCAUGUGUUGAGGAGUGAGACCCAGCAGCUUCUCUCUGGAGAUGUGCGUGCUGAUGGGGAUGGAGCUUCACGCGUGUGACCCGGUUCUCUGCCG